rnacentral:rRNA from 1 species
CUCUUUUUGAUUUAAUAAUAUAAGGUUUAACCUGCCCCCUGAAUUUAAUUUAAAGGGCCGCAGUAUUUAAUUGUGCAAAGGUAGCAUAAUAAUUAGUCUUUUAAUUGAGGACUAGAAUGAAUGGUUGAACGAAAUAUAAGCUUUUUUAGUUUAAUAAACAAAAUUUAAUUUUUAGUUAAAACUCUAAAAUGAUUUUAAAAGACAAGAAGACCCCGUAGAUCUUCAUAUUUAUUUAAUAAUAUAAAGUUAUUUUAUAGAUAUUAUAUUGGGGUGAUUAAAAAAUUUAAUAAACUUUUUUAAAAUUUUUAACAAAAAUUUUUGAUUUAAUAUAUGAUUUAUUUAUAAUAAUUAUCAGAAAAGAUACCUUGGGGAUAACAGCGUUAUUAUAAUUUUAAGUUCUUAUUAAAAUUAUAGAUUGCGACCUCGAUGUUGGAUUAAAAUUUAAUUUAAAUGCAGGAGUUUAAGGUUUAGGUCUGUUCGACCUUUAAAAUUUU